AAUGUACGACGCCAUUGAUUUUUUAUCUAACGUUUGACCAUUCGUCUUAUUUAAAAAAUUUAUGUAAUUAUCAUUUAUUUUAUUGUGACUUUAUUCAACAUCAAAUGUUCUUUAAGCAUGACAUAAAUAUUUUCAUAUUUACACAAAAAAAUUAAAUAAAACGAAUGGUCAAACUUGGUCAAAAAAAUCAACGGCGCUAUACAUU
rnacentral:pre_miRNA from 1 species